GUCUGUGGCCAUACCACCCAGAACGCACUCAAUCUCAUCUUAUCUCCAAAGCUAAGCAUGGUUGGCCUGGUUAGUACUUGGGUGGGAGAAAACUGUUAUCCUACCUUGACCAAAUGGAAAGCUUGGUUUCCUCUUCUA
rnacentral:rRNA from 1 species